rnacentral:rRNA from 1 species
UAGGGAAUCUUCGGCAAUGGACGAAAGUCUGACCGAGCAACGCCGCGUGAGUGAAGAAGGUUUUCGGAUCGUAAAACUCUGUUGUUAGAGAAGAACAAGGACGUUAGUAACUGAACGUCCUCUGACGGUAUCUAACCAGAAAGCCACUGCUAACUACGUGCCAGCAGCCGCGGUAAUACGUAGGUGGCAAGCGUUGUCCGGAUUUAUUGGGCGUAAAGCGAGCGCAGGCGGUUUCUUAAGUCUGAUGUGAAAGCCCCCGGCUCAACCGGGGAGGGUCAUUGGAAACUGGGAGACUUGAGUGCAGAAGAGGAGAGUGGAAUUCCAUGUGUAGCGGUGAAAUGCGUAGAUAUAUGGAGGAACACCAGUGGCGAAGGCGGCUCUCUGGUCUGUAACUGACGCUGAGGCUCGAAAGCGUGGGGAGCAAACAGG